rnacentral:misc_RNA from 1 species
GUUGGCGGGGUGUUUGGUUUAUAAUUGAUAUCUCAAUUUCCACAUAUUGGAAAUUCUCCUACUAGUUUUCAACCAUCUAAAGCCUUGCCCAUCACCCAACUCUGGAUGAUGGAAUAAAAAUUACCGAGGGCACAUCCAGCAACUGUUUGCCUCUAAAGUGAACAAAGGUAUAUCAUUAACCCAGAGUCUUUAGAUUGAACCAACUUCCUUCUAAAAUCUCAAUCACAAUAUAUAAAUCUAACUCCUCAAAAUUCCUCUACAAUAUCCAUCUCCAAUAAGCUCUAGUUUAAUAAUCAGUUAAGCUCAUUAUUAAAAUUUAAACCAUUCAUUGAAGUUCAACAUCAACUGAUACACAUGAUGUGGAAACUUAUUACAAGUCUCCAUGGUCACUGACCUGACUAGAGUUCAUUCACAACAGCAGAAGAAAGGAAAAGGGCCAUUGAUGUUUCUUUCUAAACUUCACAGUUUACACAAAAAAGGAAGAAGGUAGCUAAUGCUUCCACUAAACUACAAAGAAAUAAUAAAAAGAUAAUGCUAAAAUGGUAAUAAAAUUAGCAACAUCAAAGUUGGAGAUAAAUGAUAAGCAACAAUAAAUAAAAAUAAAAAUAAAAUU